UACGUAGGGGGCAAGCGUUGCCCGGAAUUAUUGGGCGUAAAGCGCGCGCAGGCGGUCAUUUAAGUCUGGUGUUUAAUCCUGGGGCUCAACCCCAGUUCGCAUCGGAAACUGGAUGACUUGAGUGUAAGAGAGGAAAGUGGAAUUCCACGUGUAGCGGUGAAAUGCGUAGAGAUGUGGAGGAACACCAGUGGCGAAGGCGGCUUUCUGGUCUGUAACUGACGCUGAGGCGCGAAAGCGUGGGGAGCGAACAGG
rnacentral:rRNA from 1 species